rnacentral:rRNA from 1 species
AUGAACGCUAGCGGCAGGCCUAACACAUGCAAGUCGAGGGGCAGCACGUUAAAGAGUUUACUCUUUAUGGUGGCGACCGGCGGACGGGUGCGUAACGCGUAUGCAACCUGCCUGACACAGGGGGAUAAUCCGAAGAAAUUUGGUCUAAUACCCCAUAAUACCGAUAUAGGCAUCUAUGUUGGUUGAAAGCUUUGGUGGUGUCAGAUGGGCAUGCGUUGUAUUAGCUAGUUGGUGAGGUAACGGCUCACCAAGGCGACGAUACAUAGGGGGACUGAGAGGUUAACCCCCCACACUGGUACUGAGACACGGACCAGACUCCUACGGGAGGCAGCAGUGAGGAAUAUUGGUCAAUGGGCGGAAGCCUGAACCAGCCAUGCCGCGUGCAGGAAGACGGCUCUAUGAGUUGUAAACUGCUUUUGUACUAGGGUAAUUUGCGGUACGUGUACCGUAUUGAAAGUAUAGUACGAAUAAGGAUCGGCUAACUCCGUGCCAGCAGCCGCGGUAAUACGGAGGAUCCAAGCGUUAUCCGGAUUUAUUGGGUUUAAAGGGUGCGUAGGCGGCAGAUUAAGUUAGAGGUGAAAUUCCGAGGCUCAACCUUGGCACUGCCUCUGAUACUGGUUUGCUAGCGAGUAGAUGCUGUAGGCGGAAUGUGUGGUGUAGCGGUGAAAUGCAUAGAGAUCACACAGAACACCGAUUGCGAAGGCAGCUUACAAAUCUAUAUCGGACGCUGAGGCACGAAAGCGUGGGGAGCAAACAGGAUUAGAUACCCUGGUAGUCCACACUGUAAACGAUGAUUACUAGGUGUGGGGGGUCUAACCCCCUCCGUGCCGGAGUUAACACAAUAAGUAAUCCACCUGGGGAGUACGUUCGCAAGAAUGAAACUCAAAGGAAUUGACGGGGGCCCGCACAAGCGGAGGAACAUGUGGUUUAAUUCGAUGAUACGCGAGGAACCUUACCCGGGCUUGAAAGUUAGUGACGGAUGCCGAAAGGUGUCUUCCCUUCGGGGCACGAAACUAGGUGCUGCAUGGUUGUCGUCAGCUCGUGCCGUGAGGUGUCGGGUUAAGUCCCAUAACGAGCGCAACCCCUAUCGUUAGUUACCAGCACGUGAAGGUGGGGACUCUAACGAGACUGCCGGUGUAAGCCGAGAGGAGGGUGGGGAUGAUGUCAAAUCAGCACGGCCCUUACGUCCGGGGCGACACACGUGUUACAAUGGUCGGUACAGAGGGCAGCUACCUGGUGACAGGAUGCGAAUCUCGAAAGCCGGUCUCAGUUCGGAUUGGAGGCUGAAACUCGCCUCCAUGAAGUUGGAUUCGCUAGUAAUCGCGCAUCAGCCAUGGCGCGGUGAAUACGUUCCCGGGCCUUGUACACACCGCCCGUCAAGCCAUGGGAGUCGGGGGUGCCUGAAGUACGUUACCGCGAGGAGCGUCCUAGGGCAAAACUGAUGACUGGGGCU